UAAGUAGGCAGCGAGCGUUGGUCGGAAUUACUGGGCGUAAAGAGGGUGUAGGCGGUGCUCCCAGUCUGUUGUGAAAUCUCCCGGCUUAACUGGGAGGGUGCAGCGGAAACUAGAGUGCUAGAGGGUGGGAGAGGUAAGCGGAAUUCCUGGUGUAGCGGUGAAAUGCGUAGAUAUCGGGAGGAACACCUGUGGCGAAAGCGGCUCACUGGACCAUUACUGACGCUGAUGCACGAAAGCUAGGGGAGCAAACAGG
rnacentral:rRNA from 1 species